rnacentral:rRNA from 1 species
GACGGACGCUGGCGGCGUGCCUAAUACAUGCAAGUCGAACGCUUCUUUCCUCCCGAGUGCUUGCACUCAAUUGGAAAGAGGAGUGGCGGACGGGUGAGUAACACGUGGGUAACCUACCCAUCAGAGGGGGAUAACACUUGGAAACAGGUGCUAAUACCGCAUAACAGUUUAUGCCGCAUGGCAUAAGAGUGAAAGGCGCUUUCGGGUGUCGCUGAUGGAUGGACCCGCGGUGCAUUAGCUAGUUGGUGAGGUAACGGCUCACCAAGGCCACGAUGCAUAGCCGACCUGAGAGGGUGAUCGGCCACACUGGGACUGAGACACGGCCCAGACUCCUACGGGAGGCAGCAGUAGGGAAUCUUCGGCAAUGGACGAAAGUCUGACCGAGCAACGCCGCGUGAGUGAAGAAGGUUUUCGGAUCGUAAAACUCUGUUGUUAGAGAAGAGCAAGGACGUUAGUAACUGAACGUCCCCUGACGGUAUCUAACCAGAAAGCCACGGCUAACUACGUG